rnacentral:rRNA from 1 species
UGUAUCGGAACGUACCUUUCAGUGGGGGAUAACGUAGCGAAAGUUACGCUAAUACCGCAUAUUCUGUGAGCAGGAAAGCAGGGGAUCGCAAGACCUUGCGCUGAUUGAGCAGCCGAUAUCAGAUUAGCUAGUUGGUGGGGUAAAGGCCUACCAAGGCGACGAUCUGUAGCGGGUCUGAGAGGAUGAUCCGCCACACUGGAACUGAGACACGGUCCAGACUCCUACGGGAGGCAGCAGUGGGGAAUUUUGGACAAUGGGGGCAACCCUGAUCCAGCCAUGCCGCGUGAGUGAAGAAGGCCUUCGGGUUGUAAAGCUCUUUCGGCCGGGAAGAAAUCGCACAGGCUAAUACCCUGUGUGGAUGACGGUACCGGAAUAAGAAGCACCGGCUAACUACGUG